rnacentral:tRNA from 1 species
GCCCCCUUCGUCUAGUGGCCCAGGACGCCGUUCUCUCCGAACGGAAACAGAGGUUCGAAUCCUUUAGGGGGUG